AAUAUUGGACAAUGGGCGAAAGCCUGAUCCAGCCAUGCCGCGUGUGUGAAGAAGGUCUNCGGAUUNUNAAGCACUUUAAGUUGGGNGGAAGGGGUUGAAGCUAAUACCUUCAAUCUUUGACGUUACCAACAGAAUAAGCACCGGCUAACUCUGUGCCAGCAGCCGCGGUAAUACAGAGGGUGCAAGCGUUAAUCGGAAUUACUGGGCGUAAAGCGCGCGUAGGUGGUUUGUUAAGUUGGAAGUGAAAGCCCCGGGCUCAACCUGGGAACUGCUUUCAAAACUGACGAGCUAGAGUACGGUAGAGGGUAGUGGAAUUUCCUGUGUAGCGGUGAAAUGCGUAGAUAUAGGAAGGAACAUCAGUGGCGAAGGCGACUACCUGGACUGAUACUGACACUGAGGUGCGAAAGCGUGGGGAGCAAACAGG
rnacentral:rRNA from 1 species